GACGAACGCUGGCGGCGUGCUUAACACAUGCAAGUCGAACGGAAAGGCCCUGCUUUUGUGGGGUGCUCGAGUGGCGAACGGGUGAGUAACACGUGAGUAACCUGCCCUUGACUUUGGGAUAACUUCAGGAAACUGGGGCUAAUACCGGAUAGGAGCUCCUGCUGCAUGGUGGGGGUUGGAAAGUUUCGGCGGUUGGGGAUGGACUCGCGGCUUAUCAGCUUGUUGGUGGGGUAGUGGCUUACCAAGGCUUUGACGGGUAGCCGGCCUGAGUGGGUGACCGGCUACAUUGGGACUGAGAUACGGCCCAGACUCAUACGGGAGGCAGCAGUGGGGAAUAUUGCACAAUGGGCGGAAGCCUGAUGCAGAAACGCCGCGUGCGGGAUGACGGCCUUCGGUUUGGAAACCGCUUUCGCCUGUGACGAAGCGUGAGUGACGGUAAUGGGUAAAGAAGCACCGGCUAACUACGUG
rnacentral:rRNA from 1 species